CAUGCGCAGCUUGCGCACCACGCCGCGUGGGUGAUGAAGGCCUUCGGGUCGUAAAGCCCUGUCAGGUGGGAAGAAUGUCCUGGGGCUUAAUAGCUUUCUGGGAGUGACGGUACCACCAGAGAACGCACCGGCUAACUCCGUGCCAGCAGCCGCGAUAAUA
rnacentral:rRNA from 1 species